rnacentral:rRNA from 1 species
UACGAAGGGUGCAAGCGUUACUCGGAAUUACUGGGCGUGAAGCGUGCGUAGGUGGUUUGUUAAGUCUGAUGUGAAAGCCCUGGGCUCAACCUGGGAAUUGCAUUGGAUACUGGCAGGCUAGAGUGCGGUAGAGGGUAGUGGAAUUCCCGGUGUAGCAGUGAAAUGCGUGGAGAUCAAGAGGAACACUCGUGGCGAAAGCGAGCUACUGGACAAUAUCUGACGCUGAGGCUCGAAGGCCAGGGUAGCGAAAGGG